rnacentral:rRNA from 1 species
GUGGGUAACCUGCCUGUAAGACUGGGAUAACUCCGGGAAACCGGGGCUAAUACCGGAUGGUUGUUUGAACCGCAUGGUUCAAACAUAAAAGGUGGCUUCGGCUACCACUUACAGAUGGACCCGCGGCGCAUUAGCUAGUUGGUGAGGUAACGGCUCACCAAGGCAACGAUGCGUAGCCGACCUGAGAGGGUGAUCGGCCACACUGGGACUGAGACACGGCCCAGACUCCUACGGGAGGCAGCAGUAGGGAAUCUUCCGCAAUGGACGAAAGUCUGACGGAGCAACGCCGCGUGAGUGAUGAAGGUUUUCGGAUCGUAAAGCUCUGUUGUUAGGGAAGAACAAGUACCGUUCGAAUAGGGCGGUACCUUGACGGUACCUAACCAGAAAGCCACGGCUAACUACGUGCCAGCAGCCGCGGUAAUACGUAGGUGGCAAGCGUUGUCCGGAAUUAUUGGGCGUAAAGGGCUCGCAGGCGGUUUCUUAAGUCUGAUGUGAAAGCCCCCGGCUCAACCGGGGAGGGUCAUUGGAAACUGGGGAACUUGAGUGCAGAAGAGGAGAGUGGAAUUCCACGUGUAG